rnacentral:rRNA from 1 species
GACGAACGCUGGCGGCGUGCCUAAUACAUGCAAGUCGAGCGCGGGAAGCAAGCUGAUCCUCUUCGGAGGUGACGCUUGUGGAACGAGCGGCGGACGGGUGAGUAACACGUGGGCAACCUGCCUGUAAGACUGGGAUAACCCCGGGAAACCGGGGCUAAUACCGGAUAAUACUUUUCAUCACCUGAUGGAAAGUUGAAAGGUGGCUUCUUGCUACCACUUACAGAUGGGCCCGCGGCGCAUUAGCUAGUUGGUGAGGUAACGGCUCACCAAGGCAACGAUGCGUAGCCGACCUGAGAGGGUGAUCGGCCACACUGGGACUGAGACACGGCCCAGACUCCUACGGGAGGCAGCAGUAGGGAAUCUUCCGCAAUGGACGAAAAGUCUGACGGAGCAACGCCGCGUGAGUGAUGAAGGUUUUCGGAUCGUAAAGCUCUGUUGUUAGGGAAGAACAAGUGCCGUUCGAAUAGGGCGGCACCUUGACGGUACCUAACCAGAAAGCCCCGGCUAACUACGUGCCAGCAGCCGCGGUAAUACGUAGGGGGCAAGCGUUGUCCGGAAUUAUUGGGCGUAAAGCGCGCGCAGGCGGUCCUUUAAGUCUGAUGUGAAAGCCCACGGCUUAACCGUGGAGGGUCAUUGGAAACUGGAGGACUUGAGUACAGAAGAGGAGAGUGGAAUUCCACGUGUAGCGGUGAAAUGCGUAGAGAUGUGGAGGAACACCAGUGGCGAAGGCGACUCUCUGGUCUGUAACUGACGCUGAGGCGCGAAAGCGUGGGGAGCGAACAGGAUUAGAUACCCUGGUA